AAAAAAAGCGUAAGAAGAUUGAAGCUGCUGGUAUUGAUUAUGAGUGCCCUGAAAUUGUAAGAAUCUAAAUCUUGCCAUUUUUUUGUUCUUCAAUGCUCUUGCAAUUGUUAUAAAAAUAUAGGGAACUACUUUCGAAAAUUCAGGCUUGAAUUUAAGGGAUAAUUUAUGUUUUUCUGCUAAUCCAAAAUUUGGAGGCAUGGGCCAGCGUUUUUUGACAAGCAAAGUUGCGAGUUCCUAUUGUCUUGAGUCCUAGGGUUCUCUGGAUGGGAAGACUUUGACAAACUUGAGAGUGCACGAGAAUGACCAGACAAUGUGCAAACUGGGUCAAUUUGCUUCAUGGCCAAUAAUAGGUCCCAAUGCUCUGCUUCCCUUCAUAUUCUUUAGGGGUUAUGUUGACUGCUCCCACAACCGAUGAUUCUAAUCCAUGGAACUUUUGCAUUUGCUUCUUGGAGCUCUAUGGUAUGGUUACUUCCACUAAGUUGAUUGUGUAAUGAAUGAUCAGACUAGUCGUUUGGCCCAUCGCAGCCCCAUUAUGUACAGUUUCUGCUCGUGAGAAAUAAAAGUGAUGCUUGGCUUUGAAGCCUAUCCCACAACUCUCUGUCAUGGCUUGAAACAUGCUGCUAAGAGGUGAGGAACAUUAUUUGCUCUAACUAGUGAUAGACUGAACUGUUGAUUAUUAAUAUGUGCAGUGGCUUGUUGAGUACAAUGCGGCUUUAGCAUCCAUCUGCUUCAUGAUUUUGCUUGGAUUUGUAGAUGAUGUCCUCGAUGUCCCUUGGAGAGUGAAAUUAUUAUUGCCAUCAAUUGCUGCUCUUCCUCUGUUGAUGGCCUAUGCUGGACAUCCAACUAUAGUUAUACCAAAGCCUCUCAUUCCCUAUCUUGGGCUUGAGGUUUUGGAUCUAGGUAAACCUAAAGCAUUGAUUAUGAUUUUAGAGACCUUUU